UCCAAGUCCUCCCAUACUCUUUGGUUGUGUCAUAGAUUUCCAUGAAACCCAAUGUGGUUUGCGUUGCCCCUGUUUACUUCCCCACCAAAAUUUCCUAAUCAGCAUGUUUAGGUGUUCGCAGAGCCCCCUCGGUAGUCUGAAGCAAGACAUAGAGUAGACCGGAACCGCCUGGGCAACCGCUUUGACAAGGACUUCCUUUCCCGCAGUGGACAUAGUGCUGGCUAUCCAACUUUGUAUCUUGCUCCAAAGGCGAUCUUUAAGAUACUUAAAGGCUCCAUUUUUCGAGCUCCCAAUAUCAGACGGCAUGCCCAAAUACUUAUCGUUGAGAGUUUCAUUCGGGAUAUUCAGGAUGCCUUUAAUAUCAUUGCGAAUGUUCUCAGGGACACCUUUACUAAAAAAGAUGGAUGACUUGCCAUAAUUGAUUCUUUGACCUAAAGAUUGACAAUAAUCGUCCAACACCUGGCUCACCUCGUUAGCACCCAUACUAUUUGCCUUAAAGAACAGCAGGCUGUCAUCUGCGAAUAAGAGAUGGUUCACCUGUGGCGCACUGGGUGCCACCUGUAGACCACUCAUGUGUGAUGACCCACUUUUUGAUUUUAACAGGCACGAAAGGCCCUCUGCUGCCAACAAGAACAAGUAAGGUGAUAUCGGGUCCCCCUGUCGGAUCCCUUUGGAGGGUGUGAAUUCUUCAAGUUUGCAUCCAUUAAAUAAGACCGAGAAUUUGACUGAACUUACCAAGCCCAUCACAAUACCAACCCAUCGUUCUGAGAAGCCAAGCUUCAACAUAAUACCUUGAAGGUACUCCCACUCCACCCUGUCAUAUGCCUUCAUCAUAUCAAGUUUCAGUGCACAAGAUUGGUGUUCCUUUGCCUUGUUUCUUUUCAUAAAGUGCAAACACUCGUAAGCUGUAAUAAUAUUGUCAGAGAUGAGCCUACCCGGAACAAAGGCGGAUUGUUCCUCGGAGAUGAUAUCUGGGAGUACUUGCUUCAAACGGUUGGCAAUCACUUUUGAGGCUAUUUUAUAAAGUACAUUGCACAAGCUGAUGGGUCAGAAUUGUGAAAGUAGGUACCACUCUGGUGAUGUCAUCCCUGCAUACCUCCCACUGGCGUUGGAAAAAAUGUGCAGGGAACCCGUCCGGACCCGGUGCUUUGGUGGGAAACAUUUGGAACAAAGCCACCUUCACCUCAUCCUGACUAUAAGGUGAAUUCAAAAGCUCGUUCAUCGCCGGCGUCACCUUGCACGGAACCGUGUCCAAGACCCUAUUCAUGUCAUGCACGCCUUCAGAAGUGUACAGGUUUUUAUAGAACAUUGUAGCCAUCAUCUCCAUCUCCUCUCUGACUUCCGUGGUUUGGCCAUUCUCCUUCAACAGGGAUUUUAUUUGAUUUUUCCUGCGUCGUCGACUAGCACGAAGAUGGAAAAAAUAUGUAUUUUUGUCCCCGUGCUUAAGCCACUCGAUGUGAGCGCGCUGUCUCCAGAGAAUUUCUUCACGAUGAUACAAUUCCACCAGGCGAUCUGUAGCUUUUAUUUCUGCAUGGGAAGGUCCCAUCCGACCUGGGAUCUGGCGCCAUACCUGUAGCUGGCUUUUCAAUUGGCUGAUCUCCCUUCUCACAUUCCCAAAAUGCUCCCGGUCCCACUGGGAUAAGUCAGCCCCCAAGCUUUUUAAUUUAUCUGCUA